AGAGAGAAAAAGAUAUUUAAAAAGGAAAUAGAAGGAUCAAGCACUUUCCCUCAGAGAGAAAGGGAGCUCUUUUCUCCUGUCAGGAGAUUUUCCUGACCCAAUGUCCCCACUGCUGCCUGACCCUAGGAAUUUCUUCCCCUGGGGGAUUCUUCUCCUCUGUAAUUACAGGUACCUACUCUAGGAGGAACUUCCAGAGUUGCCAGACUCUCUUCUCCUCCUUCCAUUUUGGAGAUCAGCUUAGGAUAACAAGCUAGGAUGAAAAGGCUUCCACAGUAGUGCCCAGACAUUUUAAAGUGGAAGAGGUG
rnacentral:lncRNA from 1 species